AAGUCGUAACAAGGUUUCCGUAGGUGAACCUGCGGAUGGAUCUUUAUUGAAUAAACUUGCAGGCUGUUUUGCUGGCCCUCUGGGGCAUGUGCACGCUUGUCAUCUUUAUUUCUUCCACUGUGCACAUAUUGUAGAUCUGGUUAUUUUGGAAUUGUUCGAGUGAAAUCGAAUAGAUUGAGGACUGCUGUGCUUCAGCUUUGCCUUGUAUUUCCAGGUCUAUGUUAUUUCAUCAUUAAAACCCUCUGUUUGAGAAUGUUGAAAUUGGGUCUUUUGUACCUAUAAAGUUAAAUAUACAACUUUCAGCAACGGAUCUCUUGGCUCUCGCAUCGAUGAAGAACGCAGCGAAAUGCGAUAAGUAAUGUGAAUUGCAGAAUUCAGUGAAUCAUCGAAUCUUUGAACGCAUCUUGCGCUCCUUGGUAUUCCGAGGAGCAUGCCUGUUUGAGUGUCAUUAAGCUCUCAACUGCACUAGUUUUAUCUAGUUGUAGCUUGGAUGUGGGGGUUUUGUUUUUGCAGGCUUCAGAAUAAUGAAGUCGGCUCCCCUAAAAUGUAUUAGUGGUCUCUGAGCAGAGAAAACGGUGUGAUAAUUAUCUAUGCCUUAGUACUUUGCAUGAAAAGAUUGUAUCGCUUCUAACACAAAGUGACUCCACUUUAUGUUUGACAAAUUUGACCUCAAAUCAGGUAGGACUACCCGCUGAACUUAA
rnacentral:rRNA from 1 species